GACGGAGGAUGCAAGCGUUAUCCGGAAUGAUUGGGCGUAAAGAGCGUGUAGGCGGCCGGUUAAGUCAGGUGUGAAAGCCCGGGGCUCAACCUCGGAAGUGCACUUGAAACUGGUCGGCUUGAGUUCGGGAGAGGGAAGCGGAAUUCCUGGUGUAGAGGUGAAAUUCGUAGAUAUCAGGAGGAACACCGGUGGCGAAGGCGGCUUCCUGGACCGAAACUGACGCUGAGACGCGAAAGCGUGGGGAGCAAACAGG
rnacentral:rRNA from 1 species